UUAAAUGGCGUUUGUCACUUACAUGACAUGCUAUCUGCUGGGUCUUCGGGCCCAGGGUUUGUAGGGUAUGACCAUCAAGACAUACUCAACGCAUAAUAUUUGGAUUCUUGUUUUUUAAUAUUUUAUUAAUUUUAAAGGGUA